AUGAAGAAAGCAGGGGGCAUGGGAUUCCGUGAUUUACAUUGCUUCAACCUAGCAACGUUAGCAAAAAAAGUGUGGAGGCUAGUCACCUCCCCUGAUUCUCUCAGUGCUAUGAUUUUGAAAGCAAAGUACUAUCCAAAUUGUAGUGUCCUCAAAGCAGGAUCUAAAGCAGGGUCCUUGUUCACCUGUCUGAGUUUAUGCACUAGUAUCCAGACAUUUAAAAGAAGUUGCAUUUGGAGGAUUAGUGGUGGUUAA
rnacentral:rRNA from 1 species